rnacentral:rRNA from 1 species
UGCCACAGCCAUAUAACCCUGCAGCCCAAGACUGGCUAAACAGGGCUCAGCCUGGUCAGUACCUGGAUGGGAGACGACAUGGGAAAACUAGGUUGCUGUUGGAA